CCUACGGGUGGCAGCAGUGAGGAAUAUUGGUCAAUGGGCGCUAGCCUGAACCAGCCAAGUCGCGUGAAGGAUGACUGCCCUACGGGUUGUAAACUUCUUUUGUCUGGGAGUAAAGAGCAGUAUGUAUCCUGCCUUGCAUGUACCUUAUGAAUAAGGAUCGGCUAACUCCGUGCCAGCAGCCGCGGUAAUACGGCGGAUGCGAGGGUUAUCCGGAUUUAUUGGGUUUAAAGGGAGCGUAGGCGGGUUGUCAAGUCAGUUGUGAAAGUUUGCGGCUCAACCGUAUCAUUGCAGUUGAUACUGGGAUCCUUGAGUAGAGUAGAGGUACGCGGAAUUCGUGGUGUAGCGGUGAAAUGCAUAGAUAUCACGAAGAACUCCGAUUGCGAAGGCAGCCUGCUGGACUGUAACUGACGCUGAUGCACGAAAGUGUGGGUAUCAAACAGGAUUAGAUACCCCAGUAGUC
rnacentral:rRNA from 1 species